rnacentral:rRNA from 1 species
CAGCCGCCGCGGUAACACAGAGGGUGCAAGCGUUAAUCGGAAUUACUGGGCGUAAAGCGCGCGUAGGUGGUUUGUUAAGUUGGAUGUGAAAUCCCCGGGCUCAACCUGGGAACUGCAUCCAAAACUGGCAAGCUAGAGUAUGGUAGAGGGUGGUGGAAUUUCCUGUGUAGCGGUGAAAUGCGUAGAUAUAGGAAGGAACACCUGUGGCGAAGGCGACCACCUGGACUGAUACUGACACUGAGGUGCGAAAGCGUGGGGAGCAAACAGGAUUAGAUACCCCUGUAGUCCCUGUCUCUUAUAA